UACGUAGGGGCCUAGCGUUGUCCGGAUUUAUUGGGCGUAAAGGGCUCGUAGGUGGUUCGGUAAGUCGGAUGUGAAAUCUCCAGGCUCAACCUGGAGGGGUCAUUCGAUACUGCCGUGACUAGAGUUCGGUAGGGGAGUGUGGAAUUCCUGGUGGAGCGGUGAAAUGCGCAGAUAUCAGGAGGAACACCCGUAGCGAAGGCGGCACUCUGGGCCGAUACUGACACUGAGGAGCGAAAGCGUGGGGAGCGAACAGG
rnacentral:rRNA from 1 species